UACGGAGGGUGCAAGCGUUGUCCGGAUUUAUUGGGUUUAAAGGGUGCGUAGGCGGCUUUUUAAGUCAGUGGUGAAAUACAGCAGCUCAACUGUUGAGGUGCCAUUGAUACUGAGAGGCUUGAGUACAGAUGAGGUAGGCGGAAUUUAUGGUGUAGCGGUGAAAUGCAUAGAUACCAUAAAGAACACCGAUUGCGAAGGCAGCUUACUAAGCUGUAACUGACGCUGAGGCACGAAAAGCGUGGGGGAGCGAACAGG
rnacentral:rRNA from 1 species